CAAAGGUAUUUGUGGUUUUUG
rnacentral:miRNA from 1 species